CCCGGUGUUUCACUUCUUCGAAACAUCCCCCAAAAUACAACAGAGUAAGACAAACAAUUUUUAAGUUGUAAAUAUUUCAAGAAAACAGCUUUAUUUGCGAUUUAGCGUUAAAAUGAGGCAAUAUUAGAUAUUAGGAAAGAACAUGUGAUAGCUUCAGCGCCCUCCAACGACCCUUCAAAGGAAUAACUGGUAGGUAGUUGAAUGGUUUAUGUGGCGUUCAAUUCCCUAUAAUUAAGUAGUUUUUCUCUGUUAUAUCGAACUGCUGGUCUGUCGGACUAAAAACUGCCCAGUGCCGACAGACAGUUGAUUGGCCUUCAUUUAUCACAGUCACCCAUUCUCUCUGACGACAUAAACCCCCGACACCAGGACGGAGCCACCACUUCACAUUCAUCUCUUCCAUUCAUACCCACAGCUACAGCACAGUCCACUGAGGGCUACAGUUCAGCAUUUGUCUGCGUUCACUGUCAAACACACUGGGAGAACGCAGCGGUUCAAACAGUGUUCCUCCUUUACAACCAACAGCAUAGAAUAAACACAGCAACAACAACACGAAAAACAACAAACGUGACAUAACUAAAUAAAUAAAUAAAACCCCCUCCGCUCCCACUUAUAUGAGGUGAGGCGUCAUUACUGUGAUUGACCUCACCUGUGACCGCUCUCCCACCUGCUGCUGGUCGAUGGCCGAUGAAGCGCCUCCACAGGAUGUCUUGGAGGAGAUGAUGACUGAUGACCCUGAGUGGAGCAGCGGGGAAAAUGAUGUCCUCUGUGGAGAUUUUCAGAUGAUGGAUGGGUUUUCAGCUCCACAGUGGUUACUAAUGAGGCGGUGAUUUGGGCUGGAAGCCCGCCGGGUGGUGGUGAAUCAUCCAGAGAGAGAGGCGGAGACACACACAGACACUGAGGCUUUUAUAAUAUCUCUAAUUUUAUCACAAAAGAACAUUAGCAGCUCUGUCUCUGGCUACGGGCUCAGCACUUCAUCUCCUCCUCUUCUUCCAGUCCUAUGCAGCUGCGGGUUUGAGCCACAAGAGGGCGUCACUUUUUGCCCGGACCUCGUUGUUGGCGGAGCUAGAACCAAACAACCGACAGCGUUUCUUAAUAAAAUCUUACCAUAAAAUGUGUACCUCCGCUGAACUGCCCUUGUGGAACAUGUAUAAAAUAGAUACCCUGCUAUAGAUGGAAAACGAAUUAAACAAAUAAAUGAAUGAUGAAUAACGAUAAUACUGAUUCAAAACAAGUUAACAUCGCAACCGGAGUGAAUUCUAGGUUUAUAUCUGUGAUGAUGAUUGUCAAACACUUGUAGAGUGCAGUCGAUUGUGCUCAUUGUGGCCAGCAGACGGCGACAUUGUGCAGAAAACCCUUUGGCCGGUUUAGUGACGUUUUAAUACAAAAGGUGGAUAGUAAUAUAUUGUAAUUUUUGGCAACAAAUACAAACACUGAAAGUCAUAUAGAGUAAACUCUGCUGUCUUUUGCACUUUUGGACAAAUCCUUCAGUUCCAAACACAAGGUUUAACAUAACUUGUUUAUUAAAACCAUCCUUAAAACAUACUUUUUAUGUCACAGAGAAAGGACCUAUGCACAGUGCAAAAAUCUACAGACUAAAAGUCAAUCAAUAGAGGUUUCACAAGUCCUUUUUUAUUCAUAUAAAAUAAAUCUGCUGUUUUGGUUGAGUCCCCCCCCCCCAAAAAAAAAA